GCGAGACCUUAAAGCGACGGUUAAAGGACGGGCAGUGAGCGUCCAAGGCCGGAGUUCUGCAAACGCUCCUUGCUCCUCCCUGCGACAUUAAGAAGGAAGGUCUAUGCGUUUGAAAGCGCGUGGGGCUUGUGGGUGAUGAUGCUAAGAGCUGGCCUGGAGGCCAAGGGGUGCAAUGGAAAAAUGAGCUCUCUUUCCGAACGGUACGCGUGGCCGAAACUGUCCCCUAACAACCAUGCUGUAUGGUUGCCACGUGAGAACUACGACUCCCACAAUUCAAUUGGGGACACACGAAGGACGUGAUUGGCUCUUUGAACCUGGAGUUUCUUUAUUGGUUCCCGUGGUCGGAGAGAAUGCUGGGAUUUGCAGGCAGGCAACGCGGGUUAUGCUAAAUAAAAUCUUUCCAUCGGCG
rnacentral:lncRNA from 1 species